GGCAGUGUGGGACAGUAAUGUAAUUACAGUUGCUGCAUCUCGGGGUUCUUCUUGCCUGUCUUCAGAAAAAAACAACAAAAAAGAAGGCUCAGAGCGGGAAACAAGGGAUUCAAGCUGUGCACCGUUUUGUGCUACAAGCGUAUGAGUUACACACAGUAAAAUGUCUGUGCGCAUUUUUUUUUUUUUUUUUCAUUUUUUGGGAAGAAAUUUCUGCACAGGAAGCUUAUUUUCUUAAAGAGUCCAGACCAAAAUUGGAAUAUCUCGCUAUUUGUUUUUCCUCUCCUCAAUUACUUUUGAAUCCGUGAAGCUUAUGCAGACUGGCUUUAAGCUCAGGCAGGGCGUCACCAUGGUAACAGACAGUGAAAUCGGAUUCUGCACCAGCGUCGUGUGAUAAGUCAACCAGAUGCCAGCAGCUGCGCCCCCUGUGGUCACGCCGAUCUUGACGCAGGCGCAGACGCACACCUUUGCUGAGGGCGCCGGGCAGCCAGGUGACAGGACACGGAGAAGGGGCCAGCUCCAAGUGUGAGUCGAGGUUAAGGUCCCGCCCUCCUCGCAGUCUCAUACCCUCAAAGUCGACCGCGUGAGGGCAAAAUGCACCACACUGGAAGAGCAGAAAGAAAACGCACA
ensembl:lncRNA